ensembl:lncRNA
CCACCGGGUUGUGUAACAACGUUACUGCCGAAGAGGUGAAACCAGGAGAAUUUAAUCUGCCACUCAGUGGAAAGGAUUUAAGUAAAGACAGACACACAUCCACUCAGACUCACACUAGUCAGAUUAUGGGGACAUCUCCCCUUCAUAGGGUGCAGCACAGAACGGUUCGAGGAAUAGAGGAUUCCAGAUUGGGUUGAUGGGGGAAUUCUAGAUACUAAACAGGGGAUUCGUUUGAACAUCGAAGUUAGUCUGAAUGUCAACAAAUGUACUGCGCUAUACUCAUUAGUUACUUAGCAUCUAUGCCUAGAUUCAAUCAGAUCGUUAACCGGCGAAAGCCGACACCCACAUAGCUAAUGUUUUGGUGGCGUCGGAGGUUUAACUGCUUUGGAGCUGUCAAAUGGGGGGAAGACGGAUGGUGUGAUCAAGUGAUGCACUUGAGGAGAUGAGGAAAAACACUUCAGUCAAGCACAUCAGUAAAAUGUUCCUGCCGUUUUCAAUAAAUAACUCUCCUUAUUUCCAUCCAAACAUUUCCGUAUGAUGACUAAUUCAGCUCCAAACUAUAACCGUAUUACCAUUCCACCACGCAAUAAGACACAAUGUUACUGUAAACAAACCCCUGCAUUUAUUUACAUUAAAAUGAAUGCCAACAAAAAAGCAUUCCUAUCACAAGUGGUCAAUUGUUCAAUAUCAUGAAAAUAAACAAACCUGUUUGAAAAGCUAUGAUGAAUAUACAAUCCAUUUCAAAUGUGUUAUAUAUUAAUAUUUUGGAAAGCCAACAAUGUC